CUGGCGACCGGCAAACGGGUGCGGAACACGUACACAACCUUCCUUUAAGUGGGGAAUAGCCCGGGGAAACCCGGAUUAAUACCCCGUAAUAUAAUGAAGUGGCAUCGCUUUAUUAUUAUAGCUCCGGCGCUUAAAGAUGGGUGUGCGACUGAUUAGGCAGUUGGCGGGGUAACGGCCCACCAAACCUACGAUCAGUAACUGGUGUGAGAGCACGACCAGCCACACGGGCACUGAGACACGGGCCCG
rnacentral:rRNA from 1 species